CUCUCGCUUCUCUCCUUCAUUUUUCUGAAGUUCCUGUCUCUCUCUAACUCUCUCUAACUCUCACUCUCUACAGAGCUCCGAGAGCUCUCGUCCCCUUUCCUCUUCGAAUUUAAACAAACCAAACUCCAAAACCAUGAAACCUUAAUUUCUGGCGCUAGAGGAUCCUAGCUAUACCGUUGCAUGCGUCAUUGGAUCAUCACGGUGUAAACCAUCAUUGAAGCCGAGAGCUUCAAGCUCUGAAACUCGAACCCAGGUGAGGUUCUCUAUGAAAAUCUUGUUUCAUUAUGUUUUAAUGUUGCUUGGGACAAGAUUUGUGGUGUUUUCCAGUUCGAAACCAGAGGUUCAACCCCCCUGCAAUUUCUCUGAAACCUUGCCCAGUUUUUUGUCACCUCCUCCGAGCAAACUCCGGCAAGUUUGUGGGUUCUGGAGCUCGUGCUCAGUUUGAAUCCAUUCCAGAAUCCGGCGAAGAAACCUGGCCCUUGUAGGCGAUUUUCCGGCCAAAUGCAACCACGGACGAGAACCCCAAUGGUACAAACUUAUUUUGUUUGCCGAAUGACAAGGCUUAUCGAGAGCAAGCAAGCUAUGGUUAUGAUUUUAGUGGCAAAGGUUUCAUGAUGAUGAGGAUUGCCGGUAAAAGCUAUCAUGUAGGAGACUUCUCCUUUCGGUAUAAAUGUCAUUACUCUUAUUUUACUGCAAUUUAUCUAUACUCUGACAUCACUUGUGUGAUAUUGGUUCAAUUAUGCACGCAUGCGCAUUCUAAAUUAGUCACUUUUAGGUUUUAAUUUAUUCAUUUUUUCUAUAUCACUAUACUUUAUGAUUUCGUCUUAUUCUAGGUGUCGGUCAACACAUCACGAUUCAAUUGGUUUGGAUAGUUAAAAUUUUCCAUACUUCAAAAACGACAAAAAAUAAGAAGAAAUUUUUCAGUGUGCCGAUAACACACUCUCUGGUACAUUGAAAAAUCUCUCAAAAACAAGGGUUUUAUGCAGAGUGGUCUUAGAGCUUCACGAGAGAUUCCAUCAAACAAAUAUAUAUGCAGGUAUCUCCCAAACAGUACCGGUCCCAACAUCAAAGGGGAAGCUUCAAAACUUAGUAGAGGCGGUACGGUACAACUGCUUGGCAAACCUGAAGAUGUUAAAUAUUCCAACAGGAAAAGUUUGAUCAUAUAUCCCAGAUCCUCUCUUAUUUUCAUUAUCCGGACAAUCCCAUCUCUAGAAGCUUGCUUCAUUGCCCAAAUAUAAUCCAGCAGCUUCUGCUAACCUCACCUUUUUCCUCUCACUGAAAGGAUACGAUGUCUUGUGUCA